ensembl:lncRNA
UGGGGGGUGUACUCAUGAACACGCAAAGGUCUACUGGAUGCUGUGCUUCCACCGGACCACACUGUGGUAGAUGUCUUCCACUUGCCCCUCCAGACCACCUCCCCACCCUCCGGCCAUGCCCAGUGUCCUGCAAUGCUGACCUUUGUGAAUGGGCUCAUCCAAGGCUACUUUGCCCUGGCUUCUGGUCAGGUUCAGCCAAUGGAAGGCACUGGGAGCAGGAAGUUAUUGCUUCCUCGAACUUGCAGUGAGUUGUCUAAUUCUCCUAACAAAGGCUGCAGCUCUGACCAGGUGGCCGUAUUCUAACCACUUCAGCACUUGUGCCUUCAGGUCUAGGAGAGAUGAAGCCUGCUCACCCUGGGAUUCCUCACCACUUAUCUGUAGUUUGGCUGGGAAAGCUCUGCUUGAAGCCACAAACCUCCCUGGCGCGGAUUAAGCCUUCAAAUUGGCUUACAUCCACCUUCCUCAUUUUCCUUGGACUAGCCCUGCCAGGGCACGUUCCUUUCAUGGCAAGUGGCAGGAGCCCAGGAAGUUGAGCAGAGACCCUUGAUGCCUCCUGAGGCCUCGACAGAAAAGUUGAUUUUCACCAACUCCCAGGAAAUGGCCAUCUCUUUUCUGAGACCAUCCCAUGUUCACUGUCCACAACCCACAGCCUGUCUGCCUACCCCAGCUGUGGGCUCUGCUGUUGAUCCCCACGGGCCUGAC